GCAGCCCAGCUCACACAGCCCAUAGCAUACAGCAGCCCAGCUCACACAGCCCAUAGCAUACAGCAGCCCAGCUCACACAGCCCAUAGCAUACAGCAGCCCAGCACACACAGCCCAUAGCAUACAGCAGCCCAGCUCACACAGCCCAUAGCAUACAGCAGCCCAGCACACACAGCCCAUAGCAUACAGCAGCCCAGCUCACACAGUCCACAGGAUACAGCAGCC